AACGGUCUAUACCUGCGGUACCUGCGGAAGGAUCAUUAUCAAUUUACAGCGGACUUCGGUCCUGUCUGCACCCUUGUCUUUUGCGUACUAUAUGUUUCCUCGGUGGGCUUGCCUGCCGAUAGGACACUUAUAAACUCUUUUGUAAUUGCAAUCAGCGUCAGAAAACUAUAAUAGUUACAACUUUCAGCAAUGGAUCUCU
rnacentral:misc_RNA from 1 species